rnacentral:rRNA from 1 species
UACAGAGGGUGCGAGCGUUGUUCGGAAUUACUGGGCGUAAAGCGCGCGCAGGCGGCCUUUUAAGUCUGACGGUGAAAUGCCGGGGCUCAACCCCGUGCCCGCCGGAGAUACUGGGAGGCUAGAGACGAGUAGAGGCAAGCGGAAUUCCGGGUGUAGCGGUGGAAUGCGUAGAGAUCCGGAAGAACACCGGAGGCGAAGGCGGCCUGCUGGGCUCGGUCUGACGCUGAGGCGCGAAAGCGUGGGGAGCGAACAGG